rnacentral:rRNA from 1 species
GACGCGGCGGCGGCUACACAUGCAGUCGAGCGAGAAGCACUUCGGUGUGAGUACAGCGGCGGACGGGUGAGUACGCGUAGGAAUCUACCCAGUAGUGGGGGACAACUUAGGGAAACUUAAGCUAAUACCGCAUACGCCCUGAGGGGGAAAGCGGGGGAUCUUCGGACCUCGCGCUAUUGGAAGAGCCUGCGUUAGAUUAGCUAGUUGGUGGGGUAAAGGCUCACCAAGGCGACGAUCUAUAGCUGGUCUGAGAGGAUGAUCAGCCACACUGGGACUGAGACACGGCCCAGACUCCUACGGGAGGCAGCAGUGGGGAAUAUUGCGCAAUGGGCGAAAGCCUGACGCAGCCAUGCCGCGUGUGUGAAGAAGGCCUUAGGGUUGUAAAGCACUUUCAAUUGGGAGGAAGGGGUUAAAGUUAAUAGCUUUAACUUUUGACGUUACCUUUAGAAGAAGCACCGGCUAACUCCGUGCCAGCAGCCGCGGUAAUACGGAGGGUGCGAGCGUUAAUCGGAAUUACUGGGCGUAAAGCGCGCGUAGGCGGUUUGUUAAGUCGGAUGUGAAAGCCCCCGGGCUCAACCUGAGAACUGCACCCGAUACUGGGCGACUUGAGUGCGAGAGAAGGAGGUAGAAUCUCCUGUGUACCGGUGAAAUGCGUAGAUUAUUGGAGGAAUACCGGGUGGGAAGGGGGCCUCCUGGAUCCAAAUGACCCUAGGUGGAAAGGC